UGAGUUGAUAUUCGAUUGCGG
ensembl:piRNA 21ur-1497 ncRNA